UACAGGGGGUGCAAACGUUGCUCGGAAUCAUUGGGCGUAAAGCGCACGUAGGCGGUUCGUUAUGUCGGAUGUGAAAGCCCUUGGCUUAACCGAGGAAGUGCAUCCGAAACUGGCGAGCUAGAGUACGAAAGAGGAUCGCGGAAUUCCCGGUGUAGAGGUGAAAUGCGCAGAUAUCAGGAGGAACACCAAUGGCGAAGGCAGCUCGCUGGGACGGUACUGACGCUGAGACGCGAAAGCGUGGGGAGCAAACAGG
rnacentral:rRNA from 1 species